AAUGAACGUUGGCGGCGUGGAUUAGGCAUGCAAGUCGUACGGGUCGGUGUAGCAAUACAACGGCAAGUGGCGAAAGGGAGAGUAACGCGUAGAUACCUACCCUCUGGUCGGGGAUACCGCGGCAUAACCGCAAGUAAUACCCGAUAAUAUCUCCGGAUCAAAGGUGUGAUUCCGCCGGAGGAGGGGUCUGCGUUUCAUCAGCUUGUUGGUGAGGUAAUGGCUCACCAAGGCUAAGACGAAUACGGGGUGUGAGAGCAUGCCCCCGCUCACUGGGACUGAGACACUGCCCAGACACCUACGGGUGGCUGCAGUUGAGAAUCUUCGGCAAUGGGCGCAAGCCUGACCGAGCGACGCCGCGUGCGGGAUGAAGGCCUUCGGGUUGUAAACCGCUGUCGAGGGGGAUAAAGUGCAGGUGGGUACUCCCAUCUGUUAGAUAGAUCCCUGGAGGAAGCAUGGGCUAAGUUCGUGCCAGCAGCCGCCGUAAGAC
rnacentral:rRNA from 1 species